CGCCGAAGUGGUCGCAGCCACUACCUCAUCCGCUGAGGACCAGCGGGAGGAGGAGCUCAGACGGUCUCUUCUGCGAGCGCGCCUGGCUCUCUGGCGCCGCCUCGGGCGAGUUGCCUUUUCCGGUGCGGCCUGGUUUUUCUCCCCCCCCCCCCCGCCGCGCCCCAAGAGGGUCUCUUACUCUAGCAACUGGGCAUGCUCAGAUGCCGUGGGGCGCCCUGCUGCUGCUGCGUACGAUCAUCAAAGGGAACAACUGCUUUCUGGAUUUGGUGUCUCUCCACCCCGCGCAAGAACUCCUGUGAGGUUGAUCUGAUACUUCCUUCGAAAGCGGAAGCAAGCAAAUCCAAGUUUUGCAGAGAAGCCUCGGGAUUUGUCGCUCUGAAAUGCGAAGAGGGGAAGGCUACAAUGGCGUGUACUAAGGCAAAAUAAUAAUAAGGGAAAAAUCACGCCAACAGGAAGGCCACCGCCGCCCCUUCCCCGCAAGCACCUCUCCUUUUUGUGAGAGGGCAAACAGUUUAUUAUGAUUGCUCUGUUACCAGACUGACAGCUCCUAGUGCAUCAGAACAUAAGACAAGUUGUUCUAGUAAAAACUAAUAACCAGCCCUCUUUCCUUUCACUGUCUCUACAUCUGGACUAAAUUUGGUGCAAAUUGAGGUCCACAAGUUAGAUCUGUUGCGCCUCAAAUGUUCAGAUGUCUGCCAUCUUGGACCGGGGUGGAUGUCGUCGUCAUUACAAACUUCACCACUGAGGUGUCCCUGUGUGUCAUUCACUACAGCUGUUCCAAAUUUGAUUCAAAUCAGUUAGACUGUCUUCAUAUUAAUGCACUUGUGCCUCAAAAGUUUAUGCAUCUGCCAUUUUGGAUCAGGUUGGGUGAUACCAUCACAAACGACACUAUUGGGGCAUCACUAUGUGUCCAUUCAACUGUAGCAAAUUUGGUUCAAAUCGGUUAGGCAGUUCACAAGUUAGCCCACUUGCGCCUCCAAAGUUUAUGGGUCCGUUGUCUCGAAUCAGCAUGGAUGUGUCCAUAUGUGUCACUGCAACUCUACCCAAUUUGGUUCAAAUAGCUUAGGCACUCCACAAAUUAGCCCACUUGCACCUCAGAUGUUCAUGCGGUCACCAUCUUGAAUUGGAAUGAAUGACAUCAUCAUACACCAUGUCAUUUGGGCAUUCCUAUGUGUCCCUACAUCUGUAGCAAAUUUGGUUCAAAUAGGUUAGGUGGUUCACAAGUUAGCCUACUUGUGCCUCAAAAGUUUACAUGUCCACCAUCUUGGAUCAGGGUGGAUGACAUCAUCACAAACUAUACCGUUGAGGUGCCCUUAUGUGUCAUUCACUGAAACUGUACCUAAUUUGGUUUAAACUGGUUAGAUGGUCUACAAAUUAUCCUGCUUGUGCCUCAGAUGUUCACGUGGCCACCAUCUUGAAUUGCAGUGGAUUACUUCAUCAUACACCACACUCUUUGGGCAUCCCUAUGUGUCCCUACAUCUGUAGCAAAUUUGGUUCAAAUUGGUUAGGCAGUUCACAAGUUAGCCCACUUGCACCUCAAAAGUUUACGUGUCCACCAUCUUGGAUCGGGUGGAUGACAUCACAAAUUACAUUGUUGAGGUGUUCCUACAACUGUACCCGAUUUGAGUCAUAUGAUAAAAAUAUUGGAAGCAUGUAACAGCUGUAGAUGCAUGGGACAAGCAGCUUUGGUUUAUUGCUACAGUGGAAAAAUUAACCCAUUUGUUGCAUCUCAGGACAGGACAAUCAAAAACCAUAUUCUUUCUUUGAGAUCUGGCAAGAUUUAACACUUUUUUUUAACCAGUCAAAAGAAUUAUGGUGAAGUAGUAUUACCUGCUUGUUACUUUUUUAAAAAAAAUAUGUGUUAUUCACAAAGUGCUCAGAUUUGGUUGGGUUAUUGUUUUGGAUUGGAAGCUUCUUUAAUAAUUGAGAACUGAUCCCUAGGAAGCUGAAGUGUAAGUUUUUAAAAAUGUAUUCUGUGAUCUGUAAGAUUAGAUAACAUAGUAAAAGUAAGAUCAGAUACUCACAUUUUGAGGUUCCAGGGCAAGAAUCAUUCUUGAUGGGUGGCAAGCAACUUCCCUUAUCUCAGUCAUCUACAAUUCUUUCCUUGAUGUUGUAUGCUGCUUCUUCUCAUUCCUUGCCUUUAGUUUGUGUUCCUGUGUCUACUCUUACAACACACUCCUUGCACUACUCUUUUAAUCACAAAGUCCUUACCAGCAGAUGCAAAAUUUAUGUGAAAUUUCAAACUAUUUUCUAUUAAUUCCAUAAUGGCUGUACCUACUACUACUUGUAAUUUAUCUGAGUUUGGUUCUCUUGAUUACUGUAACUGAGCAACUAAUGGAUGGCAAGGGCUUUAAUAAUAAAAAAAGGAGUGGC